AUGGCUGUGCCCUCCACCCAGAUCCGUCCGCCAUUGGCCCUGUAUUGUCCCUCCCGAUGGGAUCCAGCCUCCACCACUGCGCACGGUGCAACGGGAUCCACCACGGACGAGGGAAAGGCCGCGCGCGGGCGUCGUGAUGUGGUCAUCACGUGGCGCGGCAUGAUCCAGGCUCUGGAAUGGGUCGACGAUCUUGAGUUCGACAUAGUGCCACCCAAAGGCCCCCUUUGUGUGGCCGCCUGUGCAGACGCUUGGUGCACCGCGGCUGGAUCUCCAUCUCCACCAACAACAGGGACAACGCCAGAGACCAGGCACGGGAUGUGUUGGACAUUGUUCAGUGUCAGGAGGUGA
rnacentral:rRNA from 1 species